rnacentral:sRNA from 1 species
CAGAAGCUGGAAUGACUGACAUCUGGUGCUGGGCCCUGUGACUGACAGGGCAUCUAGUGCUGGGUCCUGUGAUUGACAGGGCAUCCAGUGCUGGACACUGUGGCAAAGGGACAGGUUCCCUCAGGCCACUGGAGCCCACCUCAAGAGUCUCUUUGCCAGGGAAAUUCUCCAAUGAAGGUUUCUGAGUUUGUCCUUGAUGUAAGCUCACCGAUGGAUCUGGAGAGAAAUCUUCAUCCCUCUCUCCAGAAAUCAUCCCACCACUGAUGUCCUCAAGAAGCCCAGAUUCUGUAGAUGGGAGCAUUUGGAAGACUACAACCCCUCCUGGGCCAUCUGAAGAUUGCAUGGUUCUUCUGUGACUGUUGCUAAGAUCAUUUCCUAUGUGUAAGGAUAUUUCCACUGAGCAACAGAGACACCAACCUACCCACAACACUUUCAACUCAAAAUUUAUCCUGUCUACAAGAAAUACAGGCACCAGACGAUGGAGCAGAGACUGAGGGGAUGGCCAAUGAAUAACCAGCUCAACCUGAGACCUAUUCUAUGGGCAAGCAACCCCUAACACUAUUAAUGAUACUCUGUUACAUUUGUUGACAGAAGCACUUUGUACUUUCAGAGGCUCUACCCAGCACCUGACUCAGAAAGAUACAGAUACCCACAGCCAAACAGUGGAUAGAGAUUGGGGAUUCUUAUGGAAGAAGAAGAAGGAUUAGGAGGAAGGAUUGUGGCCCCUAAGGGAAUAGGAGCUCCACAGGAAGACCAGUAGAGUCAACUAAACUGGACCCUUGGAGCUCUCAGAGUCUGAGCCACCAACCAAAGAACAUACACAGGCUGGACCUAGGCCUCCCCAAACAUAUGUGGUAGAUGUGCAACUUGGUCUUCAUGUGGGUCCCGAACAACUAGAGUGGGGGCUAUUCCAAAGGCUGUUGCCUACAUGUGGGAUGUGUUCUACUAGCUGGGCUGCCUUGUCUGGCUUCUGUGGAGGCUUACAGAGACCUGAAGUGCCAGGGUGUGGGGGAGAUACCCAGGGGGGUCCCACAUCCUCAGAGGAGAAGGGGAAGGGUGAUGGGGAAAGAAUUGUGGGAGGAGGCUGCCAGGAGGGGGCAGUGAGUGGGAUAUAAAGUAAAUAAAUAAAAAAAGAAUAUUUCCACUGUGGGGAAGAUGUCUCAGCAGUUAGAAGGUCUUGUUAUUUAUGCAGAGGACCUGGAUUUGGUUCUCAGCAUCCCCCAUGGAGGUUCACCAUCAUCCACAACUCCAAUCCCAGGGGAAUUCAGUACUUUGUUCUCACCACGGUAGGCACCAGGUUUAUGAUCAUACACAUAUAUACAGGUAAACUAUUCCUACACAUAAAAUAAAAUGAAUAAAUAUUUUUAAAAGAAAUCUUUUUAUUGAAAAGAAUAAAAAACCUUCAAGAUAACACAGCAAGAGGAAAAGACAUAGAUAAUUACAAGCGUUCAUAGGUCCAGUCGCUGUAGCCCUGUCAUGUGCUCCGGAGGUAUGCACUGAGGUUUUGUGAGGAAAACCCAUCCUUGCUGGGGUCUCACUAAGCCUGGGCAGUGGCUAAAGCCUUGCAAACCCUCCCGGAGAGUCUUGGAUGGAGGCAGCAGAACACCAUCCAAGGCCUGCUACAGAAUAAGAGAGGAGAACGCAGUAUGAGGUUCGAUGAGUCUCCCCUGACUGGGGGCUGUGGAGCUGAGACCCAGGAGAGGGGAAGGGGGCUGCCUAGCAUAACCCUCUGUUUCUAAACAUGUUAGAAUUGAUUCUAGACCUUUCUUCUUGGCUCCAGUUUCCCUCAGACCCACAGGCAGACUCUGGCUGUCCCUGUUGAGCAGGCUCAGUUGUCUCCACCAGUUUCUUGGAUGUGCUCCACACUGUGGCAGUGAACGAGGCACUCGGGGCCUGAUGUGACAAAAGAGGAAAACAUCCAGAAGACACUCCAACCUGGAAUCCAGGAGCCCCAAUUCUCACGGAGCGACUUUGGACAGGUGGCCAAUCCACUAGAACUCUGUUUCCCCAUCAACCAGCACCUUGACCUUGAAUGACCUUUCAGAACUCCCCGAAUCCCUUCAGAACUCCCCGAAGAGAGAUGAUUCCAGCAUACCAGCACUCCUAAAAUUUCAAUCUCUAAGCUCAAGUUUAUUUUCUAUCUUUUGCCUUACUGCUGGCUGGCUUGCUCUUGGUGUAAUUUAUUUAGACUGAGCCAUGCUGAGCGGUUUGGAACUGAGUUUGCAUGAAUCACUGUCCAUAAAAUCAAGUUAAGUGGAUUUCAUUGCACACGGCGCACCUGUGUACAGACGCGGCAAGAAGCAGCCGGAUUUUCUCGGCUCUUCCAGACCCCUGUUAGAAUUGCUUCUCCACUGAUACAGCACUCACCUGUAUUUAUUGUCCAUUGUUAUAACAGCCUCCCUCCGAAAGCUGAAAGUAAAGCGUUGGAGCAAUUUCUCCCGCAGAUCAUUUUAUAUAGCUGUCCAGGUUCCCUAUCUAGCCAGGAAAACUGGCAUUGAUUUUCCCUAUUUUAUCAGAGUCGACAAAUAUCAGAUCCACCUCCAAUUCAGUCGUCCCACAAAUUUUUAUUGAGUGUUAUAUGAAGUCAUCUUGAGGUAGGUACAGGGCUGAGGCUCAGCGUUCUAAGACCUUACAAACUGGGUCAAGCAUUGAGCAACAACUUGAGGUUAAACAACGCAGGAGGCUGCUGCCGGGCAGGAAACGGCAUAUUGGAUACAUUCUGAGUGAGGAGAAGCCAAACACAAGGCAAGUGACACAGGGAAGGAUUAUGGGGAAUUUGGGAAGGAGGCUGAGUAUGUGAGAGUGACUUCAAUUUGGACCAUUGCCCACAUUCAUCCCCCUCUAUCCCUCUGACAGCCCGGACAGCCAUCAUCCGAGUUCAUCAUGUUCCGUAAAAGGAUGUGAUGGGGUGGGGGUGGAGAUGACAUUUAUGGGAAGAAAUGCCCAAAGGGUCUGCUCUGGUGCUCGUGAAAAUAUAUUUCAGAGCCAGUGUGAAGGAUUAUAAAGGGAUUUAUUUCAUUUUGUAGCACAGCCAAAAGCACAGGUAGGCUCUGGACUAAAAUGGUGGCUUAGGAGACUGGCUGCUUGUAUCUUUGUUCUUCUUUUCUGUCAUGAUGUAGGAAGUGCGUGGCCUCUGUUCUGCCACAGAAUAAACAUUUUGGUUUUCCA